rnacentral:rRNA from 1 species
GAUUUCUGGCUUGAAACACUUAGUCGGCCACGGUUUCCGUGUGUUAGUACUUUGUGUUCUGGCCAUCCUUCCAAUCGCUAUUCACCUUUCUUCAUUGAUGGGUGAGUGGUAUUGGAUCUUUUACUUUGAAAAAAUUAGAGUGUUUCAAGCAGGCUUUAUGCUAUGAAUACAUUAGCAUGGAAUAAUAAUUUAGGACUUCGGUUCUAUUUUGUUGGUUUCUAGGACUGAAGUAAUGAUUGAUAGGGAUAGUUGGGGGUGCUAGUAUUCAGCGGCCAGAGGUGAAAUUCUCGGAUUCGCUGAAGACUAACUUAUGCGAAAGCAUUCACCAAGGAUGUCUUCUUUAAUCAAGAACGAAAGUUGGGGGAUCGAAGACGAUCAGAUACCGUCGUAGUCUCAACCAUAAACUAUGCCGACUAGGGAUGAGUGAACGUUGCAUUUUCGACUUCAUUCGCACCUUAUGAGAAAUCAAAGUCUUUGGGUUCCGGGGGGAGUAUGGUCGCAAGGCUGAAACUUAAAGG